rnacentral:rRNA from 1 species
GGGUGCGAUCAUACCAGCACUAAUGCACCGGAUCCCAUCAGAACUCCGCAGUUAAGCGUGCUUGGGCGAGAGUAUUACUAGGAUGGGUGACCUCCUGGGAAGUCCUCGUGUUGCACCCC